UCGCGAAAACUCCACAAUGUGGGAAACCACGAUGGGGGAACUCCCAGUGCGUACACUUUGUGUACGCUGUUCUCGCGCCUAAAAAGCACGAGAAGUAAGGGCCGGGUAAGACGGGUGCCAGCCGCCG
rnacentral:rRNA from 1 species